GGGUCUGUAGCUCAGUGGAUCAGAGCACGCGCUUCCGAAGCGCGGAGUCGAGGGUUCGAAUCCCUCCUUGCCCA
rnacentral:tRNA from 1 species